AGGCAAGACUGCGAAGUGGAGCAAAUCCCUAAAAGCCAUCUCAGUUCGGAUUGCAGGCUGCAACUCGCCUGCAUGAAGCUGGAAUUGCUAGUAAUCGCGGAUCAGCAAGCCGCGGUGAAUACGUUCCCGGGCUUUGUACACACCGCCCGUCACACCAUGAGAGUCGGGAACACCCGAAGUCCGUAGUCUAACCGCAAGGGGGGCGCGGCCGAAGGUGGGUCCGGUAAUUGGGGUGAAGUCGUAACAAGGUACC
rnacentral:rRNA from 1 species